rnacentral:rRNA from 1 species
CCUACGGGGGGCAGCAGUAGGGAAUCUUCGGCAAUGGACGAAAGUCUGACCGAGCAACGCCGCGUGAGUGAAGAAGGUUUUCGGAUCGUAAAACUCUGUUGUUAGAGAAGAACAAGUGAGAGAGUAACUGUUCUCACCUUGACGGUAUCUAACCAGAAAGCCACGGCUAACUACGUGCCAGCAGCCGCGGUAAUACGUAGGUGGCAAGCGUUGUCCGGAUUUAUUGGGCGUAAAGCGAGCGCAGGCGGUUCCUUAAGUCUGAUGUGAAAGCCCCCGGCUCAACCGGGGAAGGUCAUUGGAAACUGGGGAACUUGAGUGCAGAAGAGGAGAGUGGAAUUCCAUGUGUAGCGGUGAAAUGCGUAGAUAUAUGGAGGAACACCAGUGGCGAAGGCGACUCUCUGGUCUGUAACUGACGCUGAGGCUCGAAAGCGUGGGGAGC